CCCCUUGUGGUGUAGUUGGAUAUCACAUUCGACUGUAAUUGAAAAUUGUUAUCGAAAGGUCACCGGCUCGAUUCCGGUCGAGGGGA
rnacentral:tRNA from 1 species